AACAGAGCGCCCUGGCUCGUGGGCGGGGUCGUCCGUUCUGACAGCGACACACAGAAGCGUGCUGGCUUCGGGGAGAAGGCCGCUCGGCAGGAGACCCGGCUUCCCACCCCCUCUCGGGGCCUCCGUUUCCUGACAAGGAGACUCUGCUUACAUUUCAUUUCUCUGGGAAGGUGGCCCAGCCCUGAGCACAGCCGGGAGGCCAGGGACCCGGGCCUGCAGCCAGCUCCCAGGGCCACGUGGCCACCAGAUCUCGGUGGUGGGGCCGACGUCAGCACAGCUCGACACAGGAGGGUGCACGCGUGACCCGGCCUCGGGAUAGGACGGACACCAGGGGCCAACCUGGUGGCCGGGGGGAGGGGGAGGGGAGGCAGGGCCCUCCACCCCCCACCCCUGUGAUGCUGUAGGCACGUGAGCCACACAUGCAGGGCAGGGUCACAGUGGGGUCCCCAUCCCUGAGUCAGGCUCUUUGAGGCCGCUCCUCUGCCUUUCUAGGCUUGCGUACGUAAGACAAACCUUCCUGCCCGAAAUACUGCAAUCUCUGUCACCGACCACCUGAACAAUCCUGCGGCUCCGCGAGCAAGGGGGGACCUUCUCUCCACACGGAAGCAGUGAUGAGGAUUCUGUUUAAGCUCACCUCAUUCAAGUGCAAGUCCCCCUGGGGCCCUGGUCUUUAUCCUGGGGGAGGGGAGGGAUUGUCGUUUAUUGUUGAUGGGUUUUUGGCAACGUCUCUGGGGCAGGAAGGGAUCCGAGUGCCCACUGAGAGACAGAUGUCCCUGACCAGGGCCACACUCUGCCCCAAACUGUGACCCCACCCCCCAGGACUGAAUGCCCCCUCCCCCAAAUUAACAGCUCUGUCUCCCUCCUGCCCAGCUGGAUAGUGGGUCUCCUCUGCCAGGGCCCCUCUUUAAAAAUAAGCACACUUGGGGCG